GACAGCUAUGGGGUCUGGUGACUGGGAGGCUCUUGGGAUCUCUGAGAAUGAAGCCUCAGGUCCCAGAGGGCUAGUGGGGCAGCUAGCGUCCUUCACAGUUGAGGAAACGGAGACCACAGACUUUGAGUGACUGGCCCUGGUCCCACAACUCUCUGCUGCUUGACACCACCGGCCCCCACUUGGCGGUCUGGGAUGUCCAGAUUCUAAAUUCCAAGACGGGGCAUGUGAAUGAUCCUUGACCCUCCCCCCUGGCCCAGGGGACCUCCCCUUCAUGCAGGCGCCCCCAGCCACUCCACCAGGGCAUCUGGGCCGGAAGCCAUGGUCACAAGCACAUGGAGGGCCUGGCUUCUCCAAUCCCAAGGUGGGAGCCAAGCCCCCGGACCUCAGAGUCUCUUGGUCUGGCAUUCGGAGCUCAGCCCCACAGGUGGUGGAGCACGGACUCUUCUGGUGGGUUUCUGUCUCUACCUGCUGGUCUUACUCAGCUCGAGAGAGCUAUUAUUUGGGGGUCCAAAUAGGAGGCACCCUCGUGGGGAGGGAAAGGGGGGGCCUGGAACAGCCAGGGCGGCUCCUGGACGCACACCACUGCCUGGACUUCCUGGGACCACAGAGACCAGGCUUCGCCCUGGAACACAGACCUCAGGUGUUCCCACAGUCCUUGCCUCGGGAGGCACACCCUUCUGAGCCUUGACCUCGGGGCCUCCUGCUCCCGGGGUUGAGGGAGCGCCCCUGGGAGGGGAAACCUGGGGCAGAGCCCAUGGCAGCCUGGAGGCCAGAACAGCUCGCGAGGCAGUCUCCCUGCACCAAUUUCCCCCUUAGCUUGUUCCACUUUUAAAAAUAGCUAAUGAGGAAAUUAAUUUUGUCACCCAGAUGUAUUCAGUAAAAACAUGUCAGGGAGAGACAAUUAACCUCUGCACUGAUGCAUCCUCCCCAAAUUAAUGAGGCUAAUAUUUGUAGAUGUUGAGACAUUCUUUGGGGGAGAGGGUCCGUGAAAGUAGGGCUCCCCCAGGCACGGAAGGAGAAACAGAGAAAAGGGGGGGAGGUGGGGGAGAGGGGGAGGGGGAGGGAGGGGGAGGGAGAUGGGGGAGGGAGCAGGAUGCGGGGGGUGAGGAGACCGAGAAGGAGAAGGAGCCGCAGAGCAAGGAAGGGAGAAGGAAGGGGGCCCGAGUGAUUCCAGAGGUUGGCACUCCUGCCAACUUCCACGGCGAGCUCUGUCCGCCUCCCACCUGCCUCCUGCCCCCAGACCACUGCCCCCAGAGGUUAGUGAAGACCGGAAACUCUCCGGAGAAUGUUAACCUUCCCAGGCAUUCCCCUGAUGCAGUUUGUGGGCAGGAGGAGACUUGACACAGUGAGGCACAGAAUGAGGGGCUGGGAGCUGCCGAAGAUGAGGCUUGUCCCAGCCCACGCUGACGAGGUCUGCUCCCUGCUUAAGGACUCUGGGUUCUUCUCACCCAAGGCUGUGGGGAGCCCAGGCCCUGGGGAGGGGCUCACCUGCAGGAGGGGCCAGGCCUGCUGGCUGAUGGUUCCGGGACGCGUUCCAUCCUGUGUCUCCCCGGACAGUCCCGGAAUCCCACCCAGUGUGGACACCUCCCCCGCCCCCCCCUUCACAUCCGGCCCAGGACUCGGGCGCCAGCGGACAACCCCUCAGACAGGCCAGUCUCUGCCCAAGUAAGAGAUCUUUGCGCCCCAGGCAGGCACUGGGGAGGAAGGACAGGUGAGCUCAGGCCGCGGGGAGGUGCAGGCAGGGGUGUGGGCUGCGGGGCACCACGUGGGCAGCAUGGCCAUGAGAAGAAUGGGCCGCACCUCCCUACCUGUGUGCCCUGUCAUCCGGGUGUCACCAUGGAACAUGGCGCUCCUGGACUUUGAGACUGAAGCGGAAACUCCUCGGGGGACUUUGGACUUUGGAGACGUCAGCUGGGAUGGCCGAGGGGCCGUGUGAGCUCUCGGGGUUCGGCCCCCCGACACUGGAGUCAGGACUGCUACUGGGGUGCCGACAGGAGGGAGGCACCCGGGGAGCCCGGCCGGCGUGUUUCCCCCCGGGGUGAGAGCGGACUGUCGGACCCAAGCCGUAGAGGCUGCUCUCUUCCAUCAGUGAAAAGACCAUUUCUUUCUUCAUUUCUCUGACUGUGUGAAAUGCAAACAGGACGUAGCAUCCCCGGUCAAACCCUGUUGAAUGACCAGUUCUGGGAAGAGGAGGUCGGGACCAGGGUGAAGGGUGGGGGCCUGUAUUGCUGUCGAGGCAAAGACCUGCGAGAGACCCAUGGGGCUGUGAGCCUUUCCAGAACACCCAGAGGCAGAGGCAAGGACCAGCCCAUGGGAGGGCCCCGAGGGCUUGGGCCGCCAUGCUGGAAGACUGGAAGGCCCUUGGGCAGGAGCUAAUGGUGAAGAGGCUGAGUGGGGUGACCUGGCAAAGCAGGGACCUGCCUGCCUUGUUUCUACACUUGAAAAAUUGCCCAUGACCCUGGCCUCACAGGCACUGUGGUCAUAGACAAAGGAGAACCCGUUAUUAGGUAUCUUGAGUUGGAUUUUCUGAGGACCGGGGUUCUCCCUAAUCUAAUCUUUGCAGGCCUCGUGACAAGCUUGCCGAUUGCAGGGACGUGAUAGAUGUCGCCUAUCUUGAGUUCAGUUAAGCCGUUGCUCUGCUACAACCAACCAGCCAGCGAGCCGGAGGGAUGUUGGUCCUGAUCUCUAGGUCCCACGCUGGGUAGACCAGACUCCUCAAGGGCCCACCCACCACAGACAGGGUCUCAGAGUGACUUCCUGGGGCCCAGGCAUGCUGGAUGGGGGGCGUGAUCCUGGGACGGAGAGCUGGAGACCUGCCAGGUUUCGCAGAGCACCAGCCGUCGGCCGGGCAGGGAGGUUCUGGUUGCAGAUGGACAAUGGGGAACUGUGACAUGGAGGGAAAUAGAGCAGAGGGAGUGGGGCCCAGGGCAGAACAGGGCUGGGCAACGCCGAGCCCCGGCCCGUGCCCAGCGUGCCGUGCCCAGCGUGCCGUGCCCAGCGUGCCAUGCCCAGCACCGAGCAGGGCUCUGCACCGUCUCAUCGCAUCACAACGGGGAGCGCGGGAGCCCGAGGACGCCUGCCAACUUCUACAGCGAGCUCUGUCCGCCUCCCACCUGCCUCCCACCCCCAGACCACUGCCCCCAGAGAUUAGUAAAGACUGGAAAAUUAGAAGCAGGAGGGAAGUUUGGGGGAAGCUGAGCCUGCAGGAUGACUGUGACGUGUGCAGGAACAUGAGGGUUUUUACAGAAGGGGUGUUGAGUGGGUGGUUCUCUCUCUUCUGCUCUGGACAGAACACAGGAAGCGGCUCGGGCUGCAGCUGAAGGGCUGGGUUAGAGGUAAGGAGGGGCGUUUGCCAGUGCGGGUGAGCCCCGGGAGCCCCGCCGUGGGAGGCCCCCCGCGGAGGCGGGUUGGUGCUGCCUUGCGGAGGUGACCCGUCCCGAGACUGAUUUCCGGGACGGGAACGGGGCACCUCCGGGGAACCCCCUGCUCUGAAUUCCAGCCCAGUGACCAUGAGCCAGCCCCAACCUCAGUUUCCCCAUCUGUGUGUUAGCACAACGGUUUCGACCUUGUGAGAUCCCCGCGAGGAUCGGGGCGGGGGGGGGGAUAACAUAUGUAAAAAAGUUGUAUUUUUGGUUCGGAAAUACUACAUGAACGCCAGCACACCAACUAGUGCUCUGGGUUGGGACCAAUCGCUGCAUAUUUUGGGGAGCGCUCUGCUCUUCCGCGCUCACCCACGUCCCCCUGCACCUUCCCAAGGCACCGCACACGCCACCCCCCGGUCACUAAGCAGUUUGUCAGAGUCCAGGCCCUAGGUGAGGGCCAGCCGGGAGCCCCUCGGUUAUCCUGCCCUUGCCCCCCGUCUCUGUCAGGGAGUGGCUGGGAGGUCCGGGAACGAGAGCAGCCGACAGCGUGACAUCGCAGUCUGAGGUUACUCCUGCCUGGACCCCGGUGGCACACCCGGGCCCCACGGUGGGGGGACAGGUCAUUUAUCCCUGGUGGCUCCAGGCCUGGGUGGCCCCUCAUUACCCCAGAUCCCUCAGCGGGGCGCGCCUCCCUCAGGGCCGGCCUGGCCUUUGGAGGGCAGAGUCCUCUUCCAGCUCUGGCCUCUGCAGAUCCCUGAGGCCGAGGCGGCCUCUGCUGCGGUCAGGGGUUGAUCAGCGGGUGGAGCGGGAGGGCGGGCACAGGAGGGGGAAAGAGUGGGGAAGUGGCAGAAGCUGAAGAAAUCUCACAGGGCUCUGUAGUGGGGGAACUAGUUCCUGAUUGCCCUUGGCCUCGGCUUCCCUUCCACCCUGCGGAGAGCAGGGUGCCCCUGACUCAGCUCCUUCUUCAGGGGGUGACCGUGGCCAGGGGUCAAGUGCAUUUCUAAGCUGCUCUGGCCUGAGGCGGCCUAGAGAAAGGAGCACAAGAGAAAAAUGACACCCUGAGGUUCACAGGGUCGGUGGUGCAGGGGCAACCCACCGCGGCCUACAGGCUGGUGCCCCGCCGGGCUCUCCUCAGGGGCCUCCCCGGCCGUGGAACCUCGGCAGAGUUCUCUGUGCUCCUCCCAUUUCCUCAGCUGUGACACAGGUGUCAUCACAGCUCCUUGCUCCGGCUGCCGUGACAACGCGUCACAACCAAACGGCUCGGCCACCAGGGAUCUGCGCGUUCCUGCUCCUGGAGGCUGAACGUCCGCUGUCAAGGGGUCUGCAGGGCCCGUUUCUCCCGAGGCAGCCAGAGAGAUGCUCUCCCCUCACUUCUGGGGGUUGGCUGAGCUCCUGUGUGCCAGGCUCUGUUCCAAGGGCUUUCCGUCACCCCGCAGCCCCUGGCCACCCUGUGCCCGCCUCCCUGGGUUGGCUGGUGGCUCUUUCCUGCCCUUCCCUGCCGGAGGCCGACUCUCAGCCCCCAGGAUGGGGCCCUGCGGCUCCUUGCGUCCCCUCCCUGUUCCCCUCCAUCUGGACCAGGAUUCCAAAUGGAAAGCCUUCCUCUGGCUGAGUCUAACAGGCCUGGCAGCCUUAGGAACCAGACAGGGACUGACCUGGACUUGUUCUUAUCUGUCUUGUUUGAAUCUUAAAAACCGCACGUGAGGGCCCAGUCCUGGAGCCUCUUGGGACUUGUCCCUCUGCCCCCAGCUGCUCGUCUUCCUGCUGUCUUGAGUCGAAAUUAGGGCCCUGGAAGGACGGGGGUGGAUGGCCAGGGCGGGGGGUGUGUCCAGUGGGGGAUUCGGCAUCCGAGACAUCCGGCGGACUUCCCAGGAGACGGUGGCUUUCGGGGAAGGGGCAUUACAGAGCGAGUCGAGCAGCCAGUUCACCGAGGAGCCGGUCUGAGCCUCGGCCGCGCCGGUCCUCUUCCUCACACGGCUGCUGCCCCCGCCCUGCCGGUUCCGGGCCGGGGGCUUCAGCGCGCUUUUGUCUUUUGGUUGUCUUGGCGAGAAGUAGAGCGCUUUUCUCUUAGCUGUGAGGCUCGACCUGCCGACCUCUCCCUUGGCAAAGGGGAAGGCAGUUUUCCUUGGAGAAAAGGGUGGGCACCGGCAGGACGCCCCUCCCUGGCUUCUCCCAUCCCCCCUCGCCUCUCUCUGACCCUCCGUCCCGCUUUCCUCUCUAUACUGUCCGUCUCUGCCUUUUUUAUGCUUAGCUCGUUCUCCCAACCUCUUGGUCUGUGUUUCCCGGGGUCCCUCAGUCUCUCUCACCCGCGUCUUUCUGUCCGUCCGUGGGUCUUCUGUGCUCCUGAGCCACACCCCUGGCAUGCUCCCUGCCAGGUGCGGGGAUCUGUGCGGACCUCGGUGGGUGCCGCCCAGCACGAGGGAGGGGACCCCGCUGAGGCAGAGCGCUCCUUCCCCCAGAGGGAGGACAGCAGGAGCUCUGCAGAGACCUCUUCCCCUUACAGGCCCCUCCGCCAGGACUCAGCCCCGCACACGAGAGUGGCCAGCGGCCCGGGAGCACUGGACUCUGGCCCUCUACUGCCCGGUCCUCGCUCUUCUGCCUAGAAGCCUUUGACAGGUGGAAGGGAAAAUAUCCUCCUUCCUUUUCAUUUGGAGGCAACUUGGAUUUUGUUCUUGUGUUGAGCAAAUCAGUCUGAAAAAUUAUUACGGUUUCUGUUUCAGCUCUGCUUGCCGUGUAAAUAUUUUAAUCCAGUAUCGGAAGAAGAAUUCCAUGUGUGUCAGCGGGGCUCUGGAGGGACAGCUCCCGUCCGUCCCCGGCGGUGGCGGGCGCCUGCGUCUUCCAGGCCGCCUUCCAAAGCUGCACUUCCCUCCCUCUGCCUCUGACUUUCUUUCCCUUCCCCCGCUUCACCUGCCCCGAUCUAGGGCUCUAUAACACGUAGCCCUGACUUUUUUUUGGACCAAAGGCAGCCGACAUUCAUCAAAAUCUUAACACAUGUCAGACUCUGUACCCCAUCCUUCCAUGGAGCGCUCCUCAUUCCCCAGGGAGAUAGAUAAGAUUUGAUUGUUCCCAUUUCACAGAUGGGCAAACAGAGCCUUGAGGAGUGUACAGUGACUUGUGGGCCGCGCAGUCAGGACUGCCGGGGCCCACGCACAAUUGUUGGAGGUCAGAGCAAGCAGCAGCAGGCAGAACGGCUGAAGGGGAUGUACGCGUGUGCAUGCAUGUGUGAAUGUGUGUGCGUGCAUGUGUGUGCGCACGCAUGUGUGCAUGUGUGAAUGUGCGCACGCACGUGUGUGCGUACGUGUAUGUGUGCGUGUGCAUUUGUGUGCAUGUGCAUGCACGCGUGUGUAUCUGCGCGCGCGUGCGUGCACAUGUGUGUACGUGUGUGCAUGUGCACACACAUGCAUGGGAGUGCGUGCGCACCUCUGUCUAGCGUAUGUGUGCAUGCGUGCUCGUGCAUGUGGUGGGUGCGCUGGGGGAGAGGAAGUUACACUGUGGUUGGAGAUUUUGCAGGAACAAGCACUGGGCCCAAGGACGGGGCACCGAGGACACAGCGCAGAGUCUGCGCAUCAUCCUGCAGGGCCUGUGGGGACACAGGGACAAUUUAAGCAGGGAAGUGUGUGGUCAGGAGCGUGUUUUGGGAAGCUCACCCUGAGAGCACUGUGGAGGGUGGAUGUGGGAGUGGCAGUGAGAGGGGAAGUUAGGAGCCAUCGCAAAAUGCCAGGAGGAAGCCAGUGACGGUUAGUGGGGGCAAGCGGCCAUAGGGGCGGACACGGGUGCCCCAGAUGAAGGAGGCAGAAUCUCCAGGACCAGGGAACAGGCUAGAUGUGAGCACUGAAAGCAAGGGGGCGUGCACAUGGGGCUCGGGUUCCAGCUAGCAUGCCUGUGUGGGCACUGAGUCCCUUCCCCUGGAUAGACGGGACAGUACAGAGAACAAGAGGUGGGCUUGGGGCCAAGGGGCUUUGAGUGGAAGACUUUGAGAACCAAAGUCCUUAAUUCUCUCCAUUCUACUGUCCCAAAGCUAAAGAAGUGGUAGUGAGUACCCCAUCCCUGGGAGUAUUCAAACCUAGUCAGAUGACCUCUUAGCAGGGAUUGUUUCGAGGGUUUUUCUGUCCUGGGAGGGCAGGUGGAGGGUGUCUUCGUCAGCCUGGGCCAUCCUCCAGAGCACAAAUUGCUGAAGAUUUGCUGUGAUUUGAGAAUUGCCGAGAUUCUCACAGUCCUAGUGGCCGGAGGUCUAGAUUGAGGUCUGGCAGGGUCAGGUUCCAGUGAGAAGGUGACCUAGAGAGAGUGCUGGUCUCUUCUUGUAAGGCCACAAUCCAACUGCUUCCUAGGAAAGAGCCAGCAAGGGGAGGCAGGGCCUGACCUUGGUCACGGACCUCAUGGCCGAGGGGGUGCGUGGGGAACGGAAGACACACCUGUGCAUGGGCUGGUCCCCGUCUCUGCUGCUCGGCAUCUCGUCACCCCGCGGAAGUCACCUUGGUGCCAGCAAGAGGCUCCGGGCGCCCCGCAACUGCUGCCGGUGCAUCUAACUAGUCCUGCCCUCCAGCUGACAGCUCUCACCCUCUGACUAAAUGGCAGUUUCCCCCCAAGUGCUUCCCUCUGGCAAGGCUAAAUAUCAAUUAUCUCCCUUUAUUUCAUGAUUAUUCACGGGCGCCCGUGUCACCCCAUCCCAGAGACGUUGGCGCCGGGAGAUGUGAAGAGUGGUUCAUUGUAGGGAGCUGCCUAGCCAUCCUGGAGCCCAUCAGACUGUCCUUGCCUGGGGAGCCCAGUCUGUCUGUCCCCGGGUCACGGCGGAGCUGUGCCUGAUGCCUGGGUCGACGUCCCAGGGGGAGUUUCAGGGUCCAAGGGAAGAGACGUAGUUCGCCCUGCCAGAAGCGUGGAGGAAAGGCUCUCCCCCAGAACCUGAGCCGGAGACUGUUCUCACCUGGACGACUCCUGCACUGUUUCCCUGCUGCCAGGUGAACAGAAACCCCUAGGGCACCCAGGGCGCUGCGGGCGACGUGCAGGCGUUGGGGACGGAGGCAGAGCCAGAAGAUACGGCCUGCUGUGUGUGCGGGGUUAGGUCUAAACCCAGACACGUGGCAGGAGCCGACUCUGGACCUCUGGGGGUUAGGUGGGGUAGGUUGUGAGUCUGUGUGCCCUGGCGUGUGUAUGGGAGGGGGCAUUUUGCACAUGGGGGUGUCAGUAAGGGGAACGAAAGGGCCUUUCUCCACCUGAUGCACCCUCUUGGCAUAUGGGGUUCACCUGAUACCCGCUCAUCGUUCAUCGAUUGAGACACAGCCGAGGGUGUGCUGCUCGUCCCUUAACUCUGGGCUGCUGUCCCUCCCAGGGCUGCCGGUGCCGAGGAUGCCAGCAGACGGCCCGAGUUCCCAGCGUGGCCAGUGGACAAUGCAUCCAAGCAUUCCCAUCACUUCCAAGUAACAGAGCAGGUGACAGGGUUGACCGGCCACGGACCUCUGGUGGGUGCUCGGGCCCAUGUGCCCACCCGCCUUGACCCAUCUGCCACACAGAGGGAGAGGCAGGAGACAGUGUCACAGAGGACGGAAGACCACAGGAGGGUCCAGGACACCUGGCCGUCUACCCCGGCCAGCCUUCCUCACCAGGCCCACCUGUGAACGCCCCUUGUCUCUCGGACCCUUGGCUUCUUCAUCUGUGAAAUGGAGCCGGUUUGUGAACGGAGGUCAAAGAGGGAGAGGGGAUAGAACAAUAGUUCUUAAGCAAAGUUUCUAGAAAUCUCUUCGUUUUUCAAGACGGAUGGGUAGAGUUUUGCUGCUAAAACCCGAUAAUAAUGUUUGCCCCCAGGUUGUAGAUGUAGUGAGACCGUGCCCUGCGGCAUCGCCCGAGCCCCGUCUGUGUGCUGGGGGUGGGGGGGCGCAGCUCCUCCCAGGCGUCGCUGGGAGCUCUGGGGACUGAGCAACUUCCCAGCCCGCUCUCUCAUCCCUGCUCACCUCUGGCCAGGUGGCCACGAGGGGCCUUCCCACGGGUGGCCUCUGACCAGCAGGUCACAGUGUCUGUCGGUCUGCCCUGCUCCAACAGUGACACAGUCCCCUCAGAGUCCCCCAAAGCCGCCGUGUUCACCCGGCUUCACCCACCCCCGGGCUGCUCUCACCCUCC